rnacentral:lncRNA from 1 species
CAGCCUUUCCCUGAUGAAGAGGAGGGUGCUGUGGGCCCCGGACGGUGUGUUCCAGGGGUGCUUCUGCAGAAGACGGAGCAGGAAAUGGAGAUGCAGGCAGGAGCUGACUCAGGGUGACAGGAAGCCAUGGAAGGUGCUGUGUGAAAGAGGAACAUGGCUGUGCCCAUGCCAUGGGGUGAUCCCUGCAGCCAGGCAGGGACAAAGCAAAGUUCCACGAGACGAGGAGGUGGACCUGGGUGA